rnacentral:rRNA from 1 species
CCCCUAGAUGUUCUGGGCCGCACGCGCGCUACACUGAACAGUUCAACAAGUCUUAACCUUGGCCGAUAGGUCUGGGUAAUCUUUGAACGCUGUUCGUGAUUGGGAUAGACCUUUGCAAUUAUGGGUCUUCAACGAGGAAUUCCUAGUAAACGCAAGUCAUCAGCUUGCAUUGAUUACGUCCCUGCCCUUUGUACACACCGCCCGUCGCACCUACCGAUUGAAUGGUCCGGUGAAACCUCGGGACGGCGGCUUGGUCGCUUGCGUCCGACUGCUGAAACUUGAUUAAACCAUAUCAUUUAGAGGAAGGUGAANUCGUAACA